UGACAGUACGCAGAUGUAGAGACGUCUGGCGACUGUACCUACGAAGUGAACAAGUGUUUGGUUAUCCCUGCUUGUUACUGGGAUCAUCUUCAAUGCACACGAGAGAAGAAAUUUUUAACAGGGCAAAAAAGCUAUCUAUUUCCCAGGGAGAGUCACACAUUAAAGUACAGAUUGGAGUUGACUGAUUGGACGCAAAUAAAUAUUGACACCAAAAAGUCCAAAAUUAUUGGAUGUUGCCAUUCCUGAAACCUAUCCUGCUGAAUGGAAUCCAUUAGACUAAGCACAUGAUUUUGAAUUGGUCCAUUUAGAGAAAAAUGGCAGAGAAUUUAAAAAGUGUCGAAAGUAAAUUCUCCACAACACUCAGAAAGGAGAAGUUUCAAAUAAGCAACAUGUAUCGUAUACAGAA